UACGUAGGUGGCAAGCGUUGUCCGGAUUUACUGGGCGUAAAGAGCGCGCAGGCGGUCGUUCAAGUCGCGUGUGAAAGCCCCCGGCUCAACUGGGGAGGGUCACGCGAUACUGAUCGACUCGAAGGCAGGAGAGGGUAGUGGAAUUCCCGGUGUAGUGGUGAAAUGCGUAGAUAUCGGGAGGAACACCAGUGGCGAAGGCGACUACCUGGCCUGUUCUUGACGCUGAGGCGCGAAAGCUAGGGGAGCAAAGCGGGGA
rnacentral:rRNA from 1 species